CGUGCACCGUGAGGACGUUACUGGCUGAGGUUUGACGUGCACCGUGAGGACGUUACUGGCUGAGGUUUGACGUGCACCGUGAGGACGUUACUGGCUGAGGUUUGACGUGCACCGUGAGGACGUUACUGGCUGAGGUUUGACGUGCACUGUGAGGACGUUACUGGCUGAGGUUUGACGUGCACCGUGAGUGUGGGGGAUUGGCCAUGCAGUGCGUGGCAUACAGGCCUCAUCAGACAGCAAACAAGGAAUGAGUGUUUCCAUCUUGGCUAUUUGAGCUGGUAAUCCCUUCCUGGGUCUGUUUCUUCAUCUGCAGAACAGAGAUGAUGACCAAACCUUCAAAUGGCUGUUUCACACCAGUAUUCAAACACUGCCAGCAGCUUACAGAAGAUAAAAUAAUGCUUAAUAAGAGUCUCGUACGGCAGUAAUGUCAGCUACCUGUUCACACACUUGAUAUUAUUAGUCUGACUUGUUUCCUCUUACAUUAUUUAAAAAGUAUUAGGAAAUGGCAUCUCUUUGAACUCUGUUCUGUCUACAAAAGCGAGAACUACCAGCUAAGUACUGUGUAGCAAAGAGAUGUAAGCCACUGGGACUUAGAACAUUUUAGCCUUUGCAAUGAGGAGAACGAAGUGGGGAUGUUCACACUGUACGGCCUGGCACGGGUAAAGCACUGCAGUAUCUCCAGGCUCAUGAGGACUAGAUCUGAGCCUGCGGCUAACUAUUGAGAAUCCUACUGAGUAAUUUAGGACAUGGACACAGUUAUUGUGUGAACACAGAUGGUAGCAGAGAAGGCAGACCCAGAAAGGAAAGAGAAACACUUGAAAUAAGAAAGUCCUGUUUCAUUAGGAGUCAGAUUUUAAAAUAACAAGAAGAACAUGACUAAGCUUUUCCAGGUGCACAGACUUUAAUUAAUUAAUUAAUUAAUUAAUUAAUAUGUUCCUCCUUUCAAUAUAACUAUAGUGGGACAACUGGCAUCCCUUCUUUUCUUCCUCAUCUCCUUAUUCCCCAUCCUAUCUCUCUCCUGAGACAGAGACCUUGAUCCUCCUACGUCUACCCAUUUCCCGGAUGCAGGGGUGGUAAGCACGUGGUACCAUGCCUAGUUUAUGCCUUAGGGUUCUGUGCAUGCUAGGCAAACAUGCUAGGCAAAAUACUCUGCCAAUUGGGCCAAGUUCAGAGCAUCCAGAAGGAGUCAGAGUAGACAGAGGACAGCAGGAGAGUAAGGCCCUCUGGAUAAACUGAGCAAGGCACAUACAAGCUCACAGAGACUGAAGCAGCAAGCACAGGGCCUUCGUGGGUCUGUCCCAGGUCCUCUGUGUGUGAACUACAGCUUUCAAGCUUAGUGUUUUGAUGGGACCCUUUGGUUUGUAAAUUAUCGGGUCUCUAAUUAUUGUGCCUGAUCUUGGAACUCUUUUCUUCCUGCUAGGUUACCUUGCCCAGCCUUGAUGUGAUGGGUUUUGUUUUAUCUUAUUAUAUUCUAUUUUUCACGUUUGGUUAUUAUCUCUCAGAACCCUGUUCUUUUCUAGUGAGAAAUAGACAGGAAGUAGAUCCUGAGGGGAGGUGGGGAAGAAUCCGGAGGAGUAGAGGGAGCAGAGACUAUAAUCGGGAUAUAUUAUGUGAGAAAAAAAAAUCUAUAUUCAAAAAAGGGGAAAAAAGAAAUAAGUCAUGCCUUAAGUUAUCCAAUCACUGAACCAUCAACCAAGGGGCAUGCAUGGGACUGACUUAGGCCCUCUGCACACAUGUAACAGUUGUGUAUCUUGGUCUUCAUGUGAGACUCCUAACAGCUGGAGCAGGGGCUGUCUCUAACUCUGUGGCCUGCCUUUGGGACCCUUUCCCUAACUGGGCUGCCUUGUAGGGAAAGACGCACCUAGUCUUACUGCAACUUGAUAUGCUAAGGCUUGUUGAUAUCCAUGGGAGGCCUGCCCUUUGCUGAAGAGAAAGAAAGGAGGAGAGGGUGGGCAGAGGGAGGGUAGAUGGAGGAGGGGCCAAGAUUGGGUGGAGAGGAGGGAGGAGAAACUGCAAUCCCAAUGUAAAGUAAAUACAUAAAUUAACUAUUUAAACAAAAAGUGUGCCAGUCACACUGUGUGCAAAACAAGAAGUGUGCCAGUCACACUGUGUGCAAGAUUCCAUGUCUUUCUUUUGCAGAAGCAUAGGCCUGUUGGCUUGUUAAGUCACGUGGCUGUGAGACCCACCCUCUAGUUUACUGUCACCUGUCAGUCAUUUUUCCCAUCACGCCUAGUGCCAGGCUACUUUUAAACUUUCUAAUUAGAAACGAAGUUGUUAGGAAGAUCCAAAUGAUGCUAGCAAUUUCCUUUUCUGAGGAAUGUUCUCAGGUUGAAGUCCUCACAGGGAGUGGGGCUGAGGUGGUACAAGCCUUCAAUCUCAGCACUCAGGGGGCAGAGGCAGGUAGAUCUCUGAGUUCAAGACCAAACUGGUUAACAGAGUGAGUUUCAGGUCAGCCAGGGUUAUACAGAGAAACCCUCUUUCAGAAAACAAAACAAACAAACAAACAAACAAAAAAAAAACAAAUCCUGGACAAGCUGGGCCAUGGUGUGGCAGCUCAUUGGCCUUGCAGGUGGCUGUACCCUCAUGCUUUCCCUUCUCUGCAAACCCAUACUCAGGCACUCUUGAGUAUCACGUAUUACAAAAUGGGUUCUUCCUGACUUCUCAGACAGAAGGCUGGGACUACAUGAGCAUCCCUUCCAUUUCUAGUUGGGGACAGAUGGCCAUUACAUAUUCUGCAAACCCAUUGAGUGUUUCCUUCUGGAGUGACCGUUGUCACUUCCCAUCAGACCCUAACAUAGCAUGCCGCACUUGACCUCUGGCCUUCGAAUUUCCAACUGAGCUAUGGUAACAAAUAAAUUUUGGUCUUUGUCCCUAGGUCUCGACACACAACUUCUAAACCUUUGGGUAUUAGGGGUGCUAGGACCAUCCUUUGUUUGAAUUCCCUUGUGACAGAAGCGUGUUUGGUUUAAGGGAGAUGAUUCUUGGUGGUCUUCUGUUUAACUUCAAGUUGGGGCUGGUAGAGAAAUCAAGCCAUGCUUAGAAGCUGAACAAGCCCCAUCUCACCCUCCCUCAUCCUCUGGAAAGGAAAGAAGGUAUAAAAAUUUGUUGUUGAUCAAAUAUUCCAAUAUAAUGACGCUCCCAUAAAAAUUCCUAAAAGGAAUUAGAAAACUCCUGUGACUGUGAACAUGUCUACAUACUGGCAAAGUUCCACCCCCAAAUAACACAGGAACACGUGUGUGCUCAAGACCCGACCACAUCAUCCCACACACUGGACCCUCUGCAGUGUCAUUAAUAACAACCCAAUAAGUACAGGGAAAUGACACUCUGGGUUCUAAGGUGCUAUAUUCUCACACCUGGGGAGAGAGACAGAACCGCACAAUUAUAGCUAAGUCAGAAGAUUGUGAUUGACAUCUGCGCUUGGGAAAAUAUUGCAGGACCGAGCUGUUCUAAUAUACUUCUCUGGGUGAUGAUAAGUCAUUAGGCACAGCUCUUUCCAAAGCUCAUCAUUCCAGUGAUUCUUAGUAUCUCCUGCUCCUAGUCCCUCUUGCUGGAUCCAUCCUGGCAUAUGAAACCCACAGAGUUAUUCUGACCUACCUGAAAGUAACUUCCUAUAAAGUAUUUAGAGCUUGAACUAUCAAAGCAUGCUUAUAUAGAACCCAGUGGUAAACAUCAUUUAUCACACAACACAUCACCAUGUGACAGAACUGUACUGAGAUGUUUGGGCAAACAGCUUUCUUCUCAGGAACAGGCCUAGCAUUAGUGUCUGCGUAGCUAAUGGUGAUGUGCUUGGACAUUUGUGGGAAGCAUAUUAAGAUCCUUGGAAGAUCGUUUUCAGGGAGUUUGAGAAACCUGCGCUCAGAUGCACACUCUCCCAAAUGUGGUUUCAGAGCAGUUCACCGUGCCUCAUUUGUAAAGGGUAUGCAUUUGAUAUAUAGGACAUCAUCUAUUGCACAUAGUUAGUUAUGUAUGCACAGCAUGUCUAUGCGAAUAAACAAAAGGGAAAACUAGAAAGAAAUGUAGGUAUUGUCUAAGGGAUUUGGACUGCCUGACAUAGAAACACAAACCCUUCUUAUUUUCACUGUGUAUUUUCUAUGCUUUCGUUUGAUUUGCUUACAUGUACACAUUUGCUUUCAUAAUUAAAAGUAAGCACGACCUGAAAACUAGCACGAAAGUAAGGUAACAAUAAUGAGCUAUCCAUCUACAGUUCUAGUAGAAUAGCUUAACUGGUUGAAUUGGUCUGGUUCAAAAAUUUUAAAUUGCAUUUGUUUAUGUGUGUGUGUACACGUGCAUACAUGCGUGCGUGCUGCGUGUGUGUGUGAGCAUGGUACACACCUGAAGGCUAGAGACCAACUUACAGGAGUCAGUUCUCUCCUUCUACCGUGUGGGUAUCAGGUAUUGCACUCAUGUCACCAGGCUUGGAGGCAAGCACCUCUACUCACUGAGACAUUUCACUAGCCCGAGUUUGUGCCUCUCUAAAGGCAAGUAGAAGCUUUCUUACUGGGAUGUUUUGAGCUAAGUAUCAUUUGACUCAAAAGCUCUGACUGCCUUCAGCAGCACAGGCCAGGUCUUCCAAGAGACCCCAUCCCUGAAUCCCACCAGAGCCCUUUACCCUUUGCCCUGUUAGCAAAGACUCCAAAGAGCUCAAGGCUAAAUCCAUCAGCUGUAGAUUGCAUUUAAAUAAUGUGAAAAUGUAGCUGUGUGUUCACUUCUAAAGGCAUUCUGCAGGACAGGUCUGAGCAUGCCUAUUCACUACAUGUUAAGAUAUAUAACAUAGAUAAGUAUUUAUUGUGAUAAUACACUGGUGUUUUGUUUCCUGGUACUACUUUAAAAUAUACAUUCUCUCUGAAUAAGUGGAUUUAUACAAUUUAGCCACAUUCAAUAAAUUUCCUUACAGCAAGCCUUCUCUAACAUGCAAGUGCAGAGAUGUGUAUCCUGAUAUUCAGGACUUGAUGAUAGAUGGUCUCAGAUUCCAAGUUGGCAAGGUGACUGCAUGUGGUGGGAAACUCAUCAAAUUCCCCGAGGCAAGAAAGGGACAGCGGAUGCUCACAUGGCCACAUUGGGACAGAAGGCCAUGUGACACUGAUAGGAGACACUGAUCUCACUGUCCUGUUCCUGUAGACAAGUUUGUAGGACAUUUUCUUGAUUAAUGAUUGGUAUAGGAAAGCCCAUCUCAUAGAGGGAAGUGUCACCUAUACACACAGGAGGUCCCAGGUGCUAUAAGAGAGCAGGCUGAGCAAGCCACAGAGAGCAAUCCAGUAGGCAACAUUCCUCCAUGGCCUCCGCAUCAGCUCCUGCUUUAGGUUCCCUCAGUGAUUGGAGCAGAGCAUAGCAGUGUCACAAUUUACCCUCAUGUUAUCAUGAGUGACAAUUCCUUUCCUCCACAAGGCGUCUUUGGCCAUGGUCUUCAGCACAGCAUUAGAAGGCAAAGUAAGACACAUACUAAGGGAUGGGGAAGAGCUUGAAGAUGCUGCUUGCCGAUUCUGAAAUUAGAGGAAAACACCACAAGUGGAGGAUGCCUGGAGACCUGGGGUCUGAGAAGAUGAAAGGAGAAGAUCCCCCAAGAAUGUCCAGAGGAAAAAUGGCCCAGCAGAACUUUGCAGAGAUCUCUGAUUCUGAACUUUAAGAUAAUACAGGAUGAUAAUUUAGGAUGGUUUCUUGGUUUGGUUUUGCUAGUUUUGAGACAGGUCUCGAUCUGCUACCCAGGCUGAUCUCAAAUAGCUGCUAUCCAGUGAUUGUCUUGUCUCAGUCUCUUCUGGAGUAGGACCACAGACAUACACCACUGUGGCUUAGUUUUGUUUUGUUUUUUAUGAUACUAAAUUGUGGGAGUUUAUUGUAGUCAUAGCAGGAAAACAGACUAAAGGAGGAUAGAAUUUGUCUGCAAGUAAGUUGCAGUGGUUUGAUGAGGACUAUGCUACUUAAGGUCCAAACACUGGAAAACUAAACAACCAAAGUCAAGACCAGGGAUUUGGAAAGAUGUCUACUUGGCGAAUGUAGGCAUGAGGACUUGAGUUUGAUCUAAAUCCAUGUUAUCAAAACAAGACAAAACAAAACAACAAAACAAAACAAAACAAAACAAAACACAAACUCCCCAAGUAUUGUGGCAUGUGUUUGUAAUCUGAGCCCAGGGAAGGCAGAGACUGGUUGGUCUUUUGGUCCCCUGGCCAGCAGCCCAGCAAAACCAGCAAGCUGCAGGUUUCAAUGAGUCUGUCUCAAGAGCAACAACAAAACCCAACAAAAGAAAGGGAGAAAGACUCCCAAGGAACCCCAGCGUUGAUCUCCAGGCUCCGAUGCACAUAUCUUCAUCUCGAGACCCUGAACUUAAGUCACUUCUGCAGAGUUCAUCUACUACCACAGGUAACCUUCAUGAAGCUAAACGCCUGCAAAUAUGUGUGCACCUACCCGAGCAGCACACGCACACCCAAACAAAAGCCAAACAAAGUGACAAGUGGAGAGAAAACUGUAGUGUUUCACAUUUUCUUAUUAAAUAUUCUCUAAUGCUAAUUUUUCAUAUGCAAUGAUACUUUUGUUGUAUGAAAUCUUCUUAAAUAUAAACUGUCACCUGUUAGCACUGCCAGACCAAACCUCAGAUGACAGAGAAUAAAGGAAGAUCAAGACAAACAUGUUUGAAAAGCAUCUCUCCAUGGGGGAUGGAUUGGCUUUUUAUGUCUGCAGGUCUCAGCUUGGCCAGGUGACUUCAAAGUUUUUAUUUGGUGGAUUUUUAAGGAUACAAACAUGUGCUAUUGUGAAGGUUUCCUUUUGAAGACUGAGUGUUUCGUACACAUAGUCUAUGCUGCCCUGUUACCCACUUCCGAUGAACAAAGGGAUGGUCACCACAUCACAAGCACCUGUCAUAGUUUGAUCUUCUGAGCCUUGACUGGACUGUGCUCUGACCAUCUCUGGUUCAGCUUGGAGGAGUUUGCAAACCCAGAUUCUAAUACAGGUAACUUUUAAGCAACGUUCUCAUAUCUUUUUAAUACUUACUUUUUAAUUUUGUCUCUGUGUGUAUGCGUGUGCACAUGCGCGUAUGUACACAAGUAUAGAUUCCUAAGAGGCAUCAGAUCCUCUGGAACUGGUUGGGAGACACUUGAUGUAGUUGCUGGGAAUCGAACUCAGGUCCUCUGGAAGGGGAACAAGUGCAGUGGAUUGCAAAGCCAGCUCUUCAGCCCCUACCUAUGCUUGCUUAUUCUUAAACAAAGCUUUUGCUUCAACAUGAUAAUUCUUGUUUAACUUUCCUUGGAGUCAAUUCAGAGCUCCAAAAUGAAAAACACCUUGGGAGCUGGUUUAAUUACACAAUUUGCUCAAUAAAUAUAACUUGCUUCUCUUUAUUGUAGACUAUAAAUAAAAGCCUGGCAAGGAAGAUUUGUAUUAGAGGCCAAAUUAAGUUACUAAUAAUUUGUGAAUUCUCAGACAACUUCUUUAGCUUCCUGUAGUUUUAUUCAGUUCAAGUGUAUAUGCCAGGAACUGGAGAGAUGACUCAGCAGUUAAGAAUGCUUGCUGCUCUUGCAGAGGACCUGGGUUUGGUUCUGAGCACCCACAUAUCAGCUCACAGAGAUCUGUAACUUCAGUUCCAGGGGACCUGAUGCCCUCUUCUGGCCAUACAUAUAAGUACAUGGUGCAAUAUAAACCUGGAGGCUCUUAGACACAGAAAAUAAAAACAAAUCCUCAAACAACAAAUGUAUAUAUAGGAAAUAUAUAUGUUCUAUAGUACUUGUAGUCUAUAGCUAUUCUAGUCAUUAGUGACAUCACUAUGAGAGAUCCAUUCUGACCUGCCAGCAGUUUCAAGGGAAGUAGACCCUCCCUGAAGGACUCAGAAUGGAGAGCAUAGUCUACCAGAGCAGCCUCUGGCCUGGCCAAGAAAAAGCCUUUUCCACACCACACCUGAAAGGUGAGGAACAUCUAAUCAACUUAGGAUUCUCCUCUGUCAUACUAAGACACUGAGCGGAUGAAAGCAACGCUACUGUCUCCUCAUGUUCCUGAACUAUACCUCCAAAUGAAAUUUAUUGUCUAAUAAUAAGGAGGAAUCAGACGUAGUGUUGGGAACACAGCAGGCUGGUGCACAAGGGGUGGUAAAGAGAAGCUGACAUUAGAUACACUCGGGUAACAACUUCUAGCCUACCCUGACUUAUUUAAGGGCAUGCCCACUUAUAGAGAAGCAGGUGGCAACGCCUCUCAACCCGUUUGAUUUUAUCUUAAGUACAAUCUUAUCUUGGUGCCACUAUUCUGUGACGAAAACCUUAAUGCUGGGAUAUUGCAGGCUCCAAUCACUGACUUACACAAACAGUUUGGAUUAAAAAAAAAUGAGCUUGGGCUUAUGACUCUAUCCCAACCCCGCAUCCCCCACCCAGCACACACAUCUGGAACAGCAGGAGCAGCAGGAGGAAUCACAUUUGGCAUGGCAACUGGUGUUCAUUCACUUCUGCGGCAAGAGUACCCAAGCGCCGUUUCAGCCUGAUAAACUUCCCAGUUGUUUAGUUGUGUUUUGCUUUGUUUUCCAGGUAAAUGUUUCCUCCCUUCCUCUGACAGGGAGAUUAAGUUCCACCAGAGUUUUGGGCUCUUAUAUUGCAUUUUUAUAUCAAGCAAAGUGCAAAAGAUUAUUUCUAGCAUUAAUCACUGCAGCUAAUAAAGAUGGGCCGCCCAGAGGUAGGGCCUGAUACUAGGAAGCUUUUCUAAGCGCCUCAAUGAAGAUGCUCAAUCGCAUGUAACUCCUGUACAAUCCACUAAUAGAGAAACAGCGUUAAUGAGGGAUUGCAUCAUCACCAAUGGGCCUGCUGAGUAGCUUGGCUCUGGUCGGCUGCUGCCAAAAUGCAGUUCUCAUUUCCAACAAACAAAGUCUAUCUGAGAGACAGCACAGAGCCCUUCAGAACCGGGAAGUCCUGUGCAUAAUAAUGAAUCCCAGCUCUUCUUUUGCCAAAGAGCCUGGGCCCUUUCAAUGUCAUAGGUCAGCCCAGUGACUCAGAGAGGGCCUGAUCCUUAUCUAAGCGUUUGCAGCAAAAUUAGAAUGUGCUGUAGUCUUAUUAAAGAAAUGUUUGUCCCCCGUCAAUGAGCUGAAAAGAAAGCAGCUCAAUGCACUUUUGCAAAUUACAGCAAUAAACUGCUUGAAUUAACUGCUUUAUUACAAAUAUUUAAUUAUUCGGAGGGUUAAAUAUCCAACAUUUUAGAAAGGCAAAAAAUUAGCUACCGAUUUGGUAACCUAGCUUGUUUAAAAUCUCUCAUGGUGGUGUGUAUUUGCGUUUUUAUUUUAAACAGUCCCAACUUUGAGGUGUCUUCCUUGUGAAUUUAGCCAGUUUCCUUUCAUUGUGAAUGAAACAGCAAACACACACAGCUAUCACUCCUGAGGUAAGCUGUCAAGAAAAUCAAAUCUGCAACUCAUGAGCACCACAAAAGGCAGACUCUGUUUGCUUCUCUGGGAGCGGGAACACUUACACUGGAGGACUCCCGAGCCACAGAGGUCGUCAAGUACAACCCAUUCUAAGGGACAGAUAAAGUAACAUGGCCAUUAUAUUUAAACAGUUGCUAGUUAAAUAUUGUUUAAAGUAUACACUCCUUUAUUUAAAAGGGCCAAAGAUUAAAACUGUACGUUAAAAAGAAAAUUUGACAAAUGCAUACUAAGCAAAAAGCAAGUGUUCUCAGAGAGAAGUUUUUAUGCCCCCACACAGAAUUCUGUUCAUUAAUCCAAAUGUGUUUUCCAUUUAUUAAAUCAUAUGAGGCAGAUGGAAAUUAUUUUUAAAUAGAUUUCUUAAAAAAAAUUAGUAGGGAGCGUUUCUCCAUAAAGCAAAGAAAAACAUUACAAUAACAGAAAACGGGUCAGGAUGCGCCUGCACAGAGGGCAUAUCAAAGCGUGUUGUCGCCCGCUGUCUGUAUCAGCAAGCUGACUGCUCAGGGCCAGAAAAAUCUGCCAUGUAGGUCCGACUCUUCACUGAAGCUCUUAAAUGCGCGCUCGGAAACUACAAAGUGCUGAAUAUAUUUUCAGUCUUUUUAUGUGACGAUUUACAACUCGUGACCUUAGGCAGUGUUAUGCGCGUAAAACAAAAUGACGAGACCACCCUGGUUCAGAGCUGAAUAAAGGUAGUAUAGAAUCAAACUUCAUUAUCAUUCAAAUGUCAGGAGGGAGAACAACAGAAACUCCACAGUACAUAGAUAUAUAAUUCUAUUUUGCAGUUUUACUUUAUAAAAAUGCCCCCUCUUCACUUGUAUUUUGCUAUUAACCAGCUCAGAGCAAGUAGACAAUUAUCUAAGCUUAAUGUUGAAGUAAUAACGUGCUACAAACAUUAAAACCCUUGAGGCACGUCAGCUGGGGCCUGUGGGGGAUAAAGCCGCGACCAGUUGCUCCUCGGGCUGCCCACCCUGACGUUCAGGAAAAUUAUCGUUUUGCUUGAUUCAGACCCGGACACUGGGAGCCCCUGACAUCGGGAUGACUGUGCUGGCAGCAUGCCUCCUGAUACCCACAAGAGCUGUCCCUGCUCUCUGUCCCAUGAAAGGAGUCCUUGUUACUUCUCUUUGAUAGCUGGCACACUGCCCCUUUCACAGACCCAACGAACCGUCAUCUUGGAUGUAACAAAUUAGUACAUUCUCAGAAUAAUAAUAAGCGCAGGCAUGAAAACACCGUUGUUUUUACUUGGAAAUGAAGUAACUCAUUUUAGCUGAGUGACUUUUUUCAGUGCAGCACCCCAGGCCAAAGAGAAAAAAAAAAGAAACUUUUUUUCCCCCUUCUGAAAAGAAUGGUCAAUUUCAAGAGAGAUAUGACACACGCUUUACUGUAAAAAUCUGAGAAAGUCAAAUUAAUUGGGGGGGGGGAGAGCUUUCACUGUAGAAUAAUUAAAAAGAAAAUUAGGGGCUCAAAGGAAAUCCACACGUACCUAAGUGAUGUGUCAUUAGAGAAAUAGGAUCGGAGAUGACUCACCAUGGUACUCAGUUCUGAUACCAGGUUAAGAUGUAUCUUGUGAAUUUUUUUUUCUACUUGUAAAAAAAAAAAUUAACUAGGAGUUAAGAAAAGAUCCGGUAUAAUAGAAAACUAAUUGAAUGUCUCGAGUGUUAAAACACUAGAGAGUACCAUGAGCAUGUUUUCAUAUGUUAAUAACCAUGUCAAAAUGUUCUUCCAGUUCUCAGAAACAUUUCCUUACCGGUGAGGGAGCUUCUCUAGUCUCAGGACCGCUCCUUUUACUACAUUAGUAAGAGAAAGCUAAUGUUUACACAUUUGCAUAUGGGAUGAAUCUACUUCAAAGGCGACCCACAACCACACGGGAAACACCUUUGCUCUCUCCCUACCUGGCAACCUCAGAAAGUCUGGAAAAAAAGGCCAUGAGAACCUCUGUUACUGGAUCUUCACAGCCGCUCCAGCUAAGGGCUGACCUAGGCUCCAAAUAGCGAGUGUCCUUUUCAAAUAGACGGUCAGUUGAGAUUGGAAGAGCUGCCAAGAAGUGCGGAAGAAUAAACUAAAUAAACACUUAUUUAUACUCUUGUAGAUACGGGCCAAUGUGGACGUUAGUUAGCUCCAGAGGACGGCCUAGAGAUUUAACAAUCACUAAUUUGUUCUCUGUUCUCGCUAGCUCUUGUCUCCUGAAAUAAAUGGUCAUAUUUUAAUACAAAAUGUACUAUAAAUUUAUUAAACUUUCUGGUUCAGAUGAGUUCAAAAUAUCUCAUUAUAAACGGAGACUGUCCUGAGAGGCAGUCAAGCAUGAUUAAAAAGAUCACUCUUUUACACAAAAAAAUAGCCUUCUUACUUUACCCUUUGUUGAAAAGACAUUUGGCCAGCCACAGGGGAAAGACAUAAUCUACUUUUAUAUUCAAAUAAUUUAUUUGAAAACUCCAUGGCUACGAUGACCCUAAAUAAUUCUGGGUUGAAUAUACAUAUUACAUGGGUUUAUGUGACCUUAACCACUGACUUGUUUUAAUGUGCCAUCAAUGAUUUUAGCAAUUAUUUUUUUAAAGGAGAAAGACACAUUCUAACACUUUGAUUUAAAAAUUGCCAUUAAAUAAAAUUAUAAGGAAAGUACACGUUAAAGCGCAGUGUAUUUCUGCCAAUAAACCCGCACACCCAGAGUCAAGCUUGGGAUGUUACUUGCUGUCCUCGAGCAGCACCCAUCUCUCUGAUCUGACUCACAUUCCAAUACACCAUCUACCUGGUGACAACGUGUCAGAAAUGGUGCCAUCGCUAUUUGGCUUUCAUGGAGACAAACAGCACUUGCGGAGCAUACAAGGCUUCUCUGAGGAUCCGUUCUGUUUAGCUCUGGGCAUUUGGUCUCAGCAUCUUGAUGAUAAGGUUAGUUGUAUAGGCUCCAGGCAACAGAGAACUUCAUUUUGAAACCUCCUCCCCACCCCCACCCCACCACCGCCCCAGGAGCCAAAGAAGAGGCUAGCAGUGACUGUUUGCCCAUUUGCUUUAAGACACUGUCCCUUUCAUUCAGCUGCCCAGCCAGUGCCCACUGUUACAUAACAGCAGAGAGUGGCGGUCCACAAAGCAGGUAGGACCCUCCUAAAUACUCAGCUCUCUUAUUUAGGGUUUUAAGAAAACAGACAGUUGUCAAGCAGCUGUACAAAGCAUUUAGGAAACUGUUCCUACAUUCUUAAUUUCUUUCCUGUUUACCAGUCGCAACCAAGCCCUAAAAAGUCCAGAAAAGGAGUCCAGAAAGUUUUCUGAUUUUUGCUUAUGUUUUUUUCCUUCCAACUUCCCACGGUACGCAUGAGAUAUACCCCCCCCCGCCCCCCUGCCACCUCCCCAUACAGAAAACCAAAAUGCGAAAUGUGGACUUGUGCAUUCCGGGCGCCUCCCCAGACUCUGCCCCUCUUCCAGCCAAGCAGAAUGAGUAUCUGGGCUAACCACACAUUUCAGGACAAAGGAGCUAAUUCAUGGGGGAGGGGAGACCACACACCAUUUAUAAGGUUUGUUCAGUUUACAAGAAAACCAUUGUCAAUGCUUUGUUGAUUCAUUAUCAAUGACCCUCGUGACAAAUAACAAGUGACCACCUCCUGGCUCAACUCUCCAGCAUCUUCCCCAUGCAGGAGCAGCCGGCCUCUACUGGGCUAAUUGCUAGUCAAGAAAACUGGAACUGUGGGGACAGGAGAUGGCUCUGAUCACAGAUGUAGCCUUUAGCUUGAAGAUUUGAUGGAACUGUGGUUCUGGUACAUGGAAUAUCUCAAACAAUAGGGUAGUGCUUGCUUUUACUACAUGACUCUGCUGUGAAGAACCAAAUUCCAGUAGAGGGAGAGAAAAAGCCAGGAAAGGACCAUAGAGGCUUAUGCUGCUCUAUGCAGGGGCCACCGCCAGGAUGUUUCAGUUCCUACAAAUCUUCUUGUAUCCCCACCUACAAAAUAGGACUAAAGUAUUUUUUUUUGUAAAAAAAAAAAAAAAAAAAGGGAAAAUCACCUUAAAAUCCUUUGUUGGAAAAAUGUUAUACAGAGAACGAGCAUUAUCUUCCUCGUCCAUUGAACCUUUGUACUUUUUUCUCUGUCCUGAGGGAAAUAAUAAAUUGACAUAUUUUCUAUCAUCAGAGAUCCUUUUAAGACCACAAUGUGAUUGCACUCCAUGCGCCUCACACUUAUCCCCAUUAAAAACACACAAAGGGCCGAAGGCACGAUAGGACUGGGUGGUACAAAGGGCGCACCAGAUCUGCUGUCGUACAACACGGGUGCUCCUGCAUCACCUGGCCGGCUCCAAGGCAGCGACAAGCAGGCCCUGUAUAAUUUCCUGCUGAAACUGUGCUCUAUGGGAGAAAAGCACACCGAUUGUACUCCCUGUGGUCGAUUGGCUGCAGAUCAGCUCUGUUCCCCAGCUUCUCCAGCACUUUUAGCAGCACUGUAUCUUUUUGACUGGCUGGUUUAGCUGGAAACACAGGAAGGAAAUCUGUUAUUGGGACACCUAUAUAGUAGCAUUGUCUCUUCUUCUUCUCCUUCUUCCUCUUCUCCUUCCUCCUUCUUCCUCCUCCUCCCCCUCUUUUCUUCUUCUUCUUCUUCUUCUUCUUCUUCUUCUUCUUCUUCUUCUUCUUCUUCUUCUUCUUCUUCUUCUUCUUCUUCUUCUUCUUCUUCUUCUUCUUCUUCUCCUUCUUCUUCUUUCUUCUUCUCCUUCUCCUUCUUCUUCUUCCACCUCAUCCUCCUCUUCUUCCUCUUCCUCCUCUUCCUCCUCCUCUUUAUCCUUCUUCUAACAAACCAAAACCACCCUGAAACUGUUCUUUAUGAGGGGGAAGCAGAAAAAAUCCUUCUACUUGUUUCUUCAACUGCAUCAGCUGUGAAAUUCCAAGUGGUUUUCAAAAGAAGGUAAGACAGUAGUGUGUCAAGAGGCUGGAGAGAAGGGCAUUCUUAGGGAGCACUGAGGGAAUGUUCUCAGUAGAUACAUAACACGGAAAGAGGAUGUAAUCAAAUGAUCCUAGUGAUCCAUGCUAAGAGGGGGUAUAAGGACCGUGAACUGAGGCUGUCUGGAGGGCAGCGCCCAAGCCUCUAUGGACCCUAUAUGUGUCCUUAGAAGUCAGAUGUUCCUUAUCUCAAGUGAGUUAAGCUCUGAAAUAAAAUUGUAGUGACAGAGGAGAAGCGAGAGAGACUACCAACACUGAAGUCAGAGGAUACAAAAAAAAAAAAAAAAAACAGCAGAAAUUUCUCCCAAACACUAGAUGUUCUUCCCAGAGGGGUGUGAGGGAGCUUUCAUACCUAACCCCUCAGGGCUCCAUCUGCCUGUCAGAUUAUUCUGAAGACACGUGUUGUUCAACAACCUCACAAGAAACAAGAGGCUGUAUUGACUUAGGGUUGUUUUAGUUGUAGAUCUCUUUGGACAUCUAGUUUGAGAAAGGGGAGGGGGAAUUCAUGGUAGAUAAUAUUGAGGCUGACCAAGAUGGAGAAGCGAGAUGGCCACCAGAGGUAGUACCCUCUUCCUAGUGUUCAGGUCACUCUGGAUUCACGGACAAUGACUCUCUGCCCUGUAAUAAGUGCCCUUAAAACCAACACUUCUUUGCUGUUUCUACUUUUACUUAUUUAGUCCUGGCCAUGUGGCAGGCAGUUGGUCAAGCUUUAUAAGUGUUGCGUAGUCCUCUUCAUAACUCUGUACCCUAAAUACCAUAGUAUAGCAGCCUCCAUGCUAUGGAUGAAGAGAACAGAACCUUGAAGAAUUACAAAGCUAGCCUGAAUCAGCCUAUAUUAAAGUAUGGAGUCAGGACUGUGCCCAGCUCUGGAAAUCUGCUUCUUGCCUGGGACUAUGGAACACCUUCUCUUCUCUCUUUUCUCUUCUUCUCUUCUCUUCUCUUCUCUUCUCUUCUCUUCUCUUCUCUUCUCUUCUCUUCUCUUCUCUUCUCUUCUCUUCUCUUCUCUUCUCUUCUCUUCUCUCCUCUCCUCUCCUCUCCUCUCCUCUCCUCUCCUCUCCUCUCCUCUCCUCUCCUCUCCUCUUCUUUCUCCUUCUCCUCCUUCUCUUUCUUUCUCUUCUUUCGCUUUCUUUUUCUUUUUCUCUUUCUCUCCUCUCCUCUCCUCUCCUCUCCUCUCCUCUCCUCUCCUCUCCUCUUCCUCUCCUCUCCUCUCCCUCUUCCUUUUCCUUCAGUCCUCUUUCUCCUCCUCCUUCUUUCUUGUUUUGAAAUUUUGUUUUAUUUUAAUCACUAUUCUUCAGGAUUAUCAUAGACAUACAAUAAUUUGUAUACUAGGUCAAAUUUUAUAAGUAGAUUUAAGUGCUUUCUCACUAAACUAGGUUUUAUUUUUAUCUAAUCUAGCAGGAAUGUUCUGAGUAGGAAUAAUUCUUUAGAUUUUCAUCAGUAUAUGUUACUGAUAUUAAUAUUAUGAUAUUUCCUCACAUGUACACAACAUAUUUUGAGGAAGAUGACCACCUUUAUCCCUCUGUGUCACUCAAGUUGUGGGCUUGGCUCACUGUAUUUUUUUCUGCAUCUGCCCCUGUCCUCUAGCCUCUGAACCAGUACAUGAUUCUCUACUUCUGUGAUCUCAUCUUUCUUAGAUACAACUCAUAAAUUAGGUCAUGCGAUAUCUGCCUUUCUGUGCCUGGCUUCUAGAACUAAGCUUGGUAUGUUGAGAAGACAGCCACGUGUUCAUGUUCAAAGCGAUGCUCUUCUUAAAAGCCAAGAUCAGGAAGAUUUACUCCCAGAUGAAGGGAUAAGAAAAUCAUGGUACAAUACAAGAUGCAAUUGUGUCAUAUUAUGUGAGAAGUCAGGCCCUUGCUAGUCUUCAGUGAGAAUUCAACAACAUGUAGACUUGUUAGCUUCUUUUAGCUCAGGCCUGUCUUCUGUGCACCUUGGUGCACUUGCCAAACUCCCCUCUUCAUCACAUCCCACUGGCCAGUGUUGAGCCAAUGACUUUGUUUCUAUGUGGCUCAACUUCUGCACUAAUGAAAUCAAUAUAUUAAUUUUUGCUGAUAUUGCUUGUGUCUCAAUGAAUUAAUACUUAGAAAGGCUUCCCUGAACUUAAACAUGCACAACAGAUAUUCGUUGUUUAAUCUUAUUUUAGCCUUAUAUUUAUGUUUAUAUAAAGUCUGCAUUGCUUGCUUGGCCAGCGUAUGAAUAAUUCAGUUUGGACCUUAGAAUUUUUGCAGCUUUGGGAUUCCCGAGUUCAUCUGGGAGUUUAGUACUUGAUAGAUAAGACUGCAUCUAAAGUCAUGGUCAAAGAAUGUUGGUAUCCAACCCAAAUCAACUGACCCAGAAUCCUAAAGGCAGGUCCCAGGAAAGUGCCUUUAAAGCAGCUUUCCAUUUAUCUUUACGUACGAUUAAGUUUAGUGACUAUUCAUUACAGCCUAAACCCCAGGUCCACUGAGGAGAGAACAAGGCCAUGGAAGGUUAAGGAAUUCUCUGCAGACGAGAGUGGGGGAGAAAGCCCAUCUAGUUUAUGGAAUGAAAAAAUUGGCACAUCUCACAUCACCAGUGAAACACAAACAAUUCCAAGGGAGCUUCAGCAACAGUGUGGUCCCAGCCUUUGUGUUAGGAUAAAAGAGGGGCGUGAACGCAGAUGAGGCUUCAAAUGUGAUUCCAGGUCCGUUGGCAGGAAGAUUGAUCAAGGUUUGACCUAAUUGUGGUCUCUCAUUGAUGGGCAAAAUGUGAAUCCCAAUGAAGAAUUGAUCUGCCACUGAACAGAGAGUUACUCUACUGUACACAGCCGGCGCCACGGACAGAGUGGCUUAGUCCUGAUGAAGAUGUGUCUAUUUUGUCUUGUCCAUUCAAUUUGACAUUUGUCUUCUGGCAGAAGAUCCUUUAUUGAGACAAGGGACAGAGAUGCUUUUUUAUUUCGUUGGAACAGCAUGAAGAAAUUUUGCUUUAUUUUAUUGUAGGGGUGAGCGGAUAUCAGGGUUGGGAAAAUUAUACUUCCUGGAUAAUUACUUCUGAGAUAGAUGGUUCCAGUUGAGGAAAAGCCACACGAGAAAAUGAAGUCCCUUCUUAAUAACCGGACUAUUCAUGUUACGAAGGGACUACUUCUAUUUUUACCAAUGAACGACAUAGUUGAUUCUGAAGUCACACACAUUGUUGUGUUGGACAACCACACCCACUGAUUAUGAGAACAGAGGUCUAUUUUAAAUAAAUGAAAUUAAGAUUUUUUUAAAAAAAGAUGAUACUAUAUUUAUGCAUGAAAGAUGUAAUAUAUUUCCUUAAUGAAAAAACAAUCAAGACAUUUACCUACAAUUAUUAUUCAAAUACAGGAUUUUCAUGUCUACCGGAAGCUUUCACUAUUUUUACUGUUCCUGGAGUGCUUGGAGUGAGCAUAGGCUAGCCCUCUCAGGAGGGCUGCCCUAUACCCUGACUGGGCUUGCCACGGUGUGUCAGCAGGAUGAGUACUUGUGAGGGUUUGGCAUGCACGAAUGUGUAGUUUGUUUCUCUAGAAAAGCCUAACUAAUAUAGGAAGAUUCACAGGCGGGUUACUCUAGCUUUUAGGUAAUAGACAUAACAUCAUACCAUUCUAGGAUGAAUGGUUUCCAUGUGGGAACAUCAGUGAUUUGUGGAAAUUAACUUUCUUUUCUAGUUGCUACCCCAAUUGCUAUGAUUCUUGUGUGAUAUCCUGCUUCCCUCCUGCCUCCCUCCCACUUUCUUCCUCCCUCCCUCCCUCCUUCCUGUACCCUUCCUUCCUUUCUCUCUAUUUUCCUUUUGGAGGGUGGGUAGUAAUUUCCUAUACAUCCCAGGCCAGCUCAAACCUGCCAUUCUCCUGCCUCAGCCUACAGAAUGCUUGGGUUUCAGGUGUGUAUUACAAUGCACUCAGCAGCUUGCCCAGUUCAUCCACCAGGACAUGAGGAAGAAAGAUGGUCAAGACCAGCAUCCUCAGCACUUUACUUCAGCAUCAGAUCUGGCUGCUGCCAGGAUCAUGUGAUGCACCUGGUAAAAGUCCCGUGGGUCUUUUUCAGCAUUUGCUGAUGCUAAACCACGUCCAUGACAAUAUGCUAAAUGCCAAAAGAAGUUGUGUUGAUGGACACCAUCGACUUAUACAAUCCCAGACAAUCCAUUCAAUUUUCUGUCACAACAUUACCACAUGACAUAUGGGCAUAUAUUAGGAGUAUUUAAUGUUUCACUUCAUGGACACACACACUUAAUUUGAAAACCUUAGAUAAAACAUGCAGUAAAAUGGGGAGAAAGAAGUGGUUUCCUGGAUACUUAAUGAUGAAGCAUGGGAUGCUCAUGAUAAGCAAAAAUUAAAAAUGACUUUUCAGUCCUUUGAAAUUCUAUCUAAUGUAUAAUGGCUGGAGAGCUUGGCUCUAAAAAGUCACCAGCACCUGAAUUAUAAAUAAAAAAAAUUAGAAAUAAUUUAAUUUACUUUCAAAUAAUAAAUAAUCUUUGAAGGAAAAAAGAAACCCUUACAGCAAUUUAUUUUUUUUAAUGAAAGGGGGUAUUUGUAGUUACUUUAGCAUCCACCUUUUUUCAGUAAAAGGGGAAUUAAACUAUUACAGGACACCUUGUUAAGUAAUUAUACAGCAGCAUCACAGUGCAAUUAAAUAGCCAUCAGUCCCCGCAGCUGAGAAAUUCCAGGUAAUUAUUCAAAGAUAAUUUAAUAGGAGAAUUACUGUAUUCAAGCAAGGAUUAGCAAGUAAUCUACCUCAAUUAAAGCAUCCAAUUAAUUUCCGAGCCUCGAUAACAGUUGCCUUUGGCAAAAUGAUCCUUCCCUUCAUUUGAUCCUGCAUAGGCAAUAUUCCUUAAACAUUGUGUAAAAUUAAUUUACUUCUUCUAAAAGUACAGUCUAUUAAUAGCAGCCUCCUGAGAAAUUAAACAGAUGCAAGAGUAACAACGGCGUCUUCCUGCCUGCUUGCUUAUGCCUUUUCCCCCCCCAGUCUUCUGUGCAGAAACAAAACACAGCCAACUCGGACCUGUUAGUCCCAGCGUGCAUCACCAAGCAGGAAAACCUGCCAGUGAUGGAGAGUUCCUGAAGAAAUUUUUGUUGCUGGACUGAUUAACUCAGCGGACAGACGGUCUGUGGGAACUCUGUCUCUGGGAAUCUGAUGAUCAUGUGGCCGGGAUGACGACUGGGCAAGUAUGGAGACUUUAGUGGGUGGGGUUUCCUUCGUUGAGUUUCUUUCAGAUUGCUGCAGAAAGCCCUCAGCAUUGGGACACAAAGAGAGGUUUGGAUGCUCUGGGAGGACCUUUCACUGUCUCAAACUGUCUCUUAACAGCAGCCUUUCAGUUCUGCCUCACUUACGGUUUCUCUGGGUAAGUCAUCACUCCUUUGAGAUGUGGCAUCAUCAGUGUGUGCGGGAUAUGCCUAAGGAAAUUGUUCCCCCCUGAGGUCACUGACAGACAGGACGUACAGGAUCAGGAUCUUGAGCUCAGGGCCUCAAGACUGAAUGGAGGUUGCCUAAGGCUUGUGAUAAUAGGCUCUCUGUGUCUGAUGGUUGGAAAUGGCUUACCUCUGGCCAUCAUUUUCAAUACCUCAGAAACCUGUUUCCCACCCGCAGAGACAGGAUAAGAAAACACUACAGAGAUGCCCAGGGAUGACCUAGAAAAUUGUUGCGAAUGCAUCUCCCCAUCUCUUUAGUGGCAGCAACUUCUGUCUUUGUCUCUUUAGCUUCUUUAGUCACCUCUCUAUCUUCUACUUGGAAAAAUGACCCUAUGUGCAUUGCUGUGAUUCUGACUACUGUUUUCUUAGGAGCCAGCUUCCACUAUUUCCUCAAGUGGACAACAAACUGAAACUGUAGGCAACAGGUUUUUAGCCCAGUACACAGGCUUCUGGAACUCUCUUUCAUUCUUUUGAGAGCAAAGGCUGUAGGAGGCCAUGAGCUAGAAUUAUAUCGCUCAGCUGAGGUAAGCAAACUGGGCCAUGCAGAUGCCCAGUCCAUCCGGUCUGUUUAUAGCAUAUGUACAUGCAUACAUACACGUAUGCAUAUAUACUUACACACAUAUGGGAUAGAUAGGUACAUACAAACAGAUGAUAGACAGUAGACAGAUGAUGGGUGGGAGGUGCAUGACGUAUGGUGAUGCAGACAGACUAACCUGAAUGCCCUGUGUUUAUAUUCUCACCACCUGAAUAGGUAACUCUGGCCAGUCCACUCCUAGUGUUUAACUCUCCAAAGUUCUACUAGUUCCAAAGCCCAGAGUUUGUCCCACAGAAUACAGAACUUGACAGUGCUGUAGGAGUCAAGAAUGAGCCACAAACAACACGUGCUCAGCAAGCAGCAAAUGCUUGCAAGUGGUUACGGACUCCACAGCAUUUGACAUUACUUUGUUAGGGUUCCCUGUCCUUGUAUUGUCACAGCAAUACGAGAAAACGUGUAUUGAUCAUGCACGUGGCUCCCUCUUUUAUCAAUGAACUUUGACUACAAUUUCAAAGUUGUACUUUCUAGGUAAAGACUGCAAAUGAAUUUCACACUGCCUGGUGUUAUCCGUGGAGCAGGUCUGAUGUCACCCAGGGCUUAUGACACCCUAAAGGUACCUGGUCCUUACUUGGCACAAAGCACAUACAUAUAUCAUUGAGCUUGUUUGCAUAUUUUCACAAUGACCAAGCUGGACUUUUUUAAGUUUUCUGUGUAUGGGUGUGGGCAUACAUGUAUGCAUGUUUUGUGGACAUGUGUGUGGAGGCAUUGUUGUUGUCCAAUGUCUUCCUCAAUCGCCAUCUAUCUUACUUUUUGAGAUAAGGCCUAUUCACUGAAAUUGGAACUCAAGGAUUUGCUGGCCAGUCAGCUCCAGAGAUUCCCGCCCCCCAUUCAAGGAUCUGGCAUGCACCCCCAAACCUGGCUUUUUACACAACAUUAGAAGGCCUAAUUCAAGUCAGAAAGCACUUUAUUGAUGGAGUCAUCUUCCCACGCCUAAGUCCUAUCCUUUGUGUCUUGAGUAGUCUAAUCAGUGUGAAGUUAAACUGUUAAUUCACAGAAGUAUGUUUAUCUCUGAGCAACACUUUAUUUUCUCCUGCUAUAGAGGUAUCAACCGGGAGAAAGACUGUAAAAGACAAAUGUGAUAUUUCCUCCUGCAAAGGGUUUUGUUUUGACAGCAGCUGAUGAGCUUUGAGGAACAAGUUCACACUCUUCAGCUCUGUGUCUUAAGCAUCACCACCACUGUCCAUCAUUUCGCUGUUGCUAUGGUAACACAACCCUGGCAGAAGCAGCUUAACGGGGACUUUAUUUUGGCGCACAGUUUCAGAGGGACAAAACCCAUCAUGCAUGGAAGACAUGGGGGCAGAAGCAAGAGACAAGCCAAUCAUAUUGCAUCUACACUCAGGAUGUGGGGCCAGACACAGAGCUUCAAAGCCUCACCCCUAACACUAGUGGCUUACUUCCUUUUCCCUAGGCUUUCUCCUCUAAAGGCUCCACAAUCUUGCAAACAGCUCCACCAAGUGGAGAAGAAGUGUUCAAACAUGCAAGUCUCUGGGGGACAUUUCACUUCCAAACCACAGCAGUCAAUAAGGGGCACCAUUUCCCAUGCAGUGCUGCCUUCCUGCUGACACUCAGCAUCAAAACAUACAUGUGGCGGGCCCUUCAUCAUUGUGUACCCUCAGCACGACAUCCGAGCCAUGCAAGCAGCUAAGUCUCUCUGAAGUCACAAGGGGCCAGAGGAUGUAAUCCACUCUCCCAGUGCCUCUUGUGACCCAAUGACCACUGCUUUAGGAGGUAAGCUACCUGUAAUUUUCUUUUAGAAUUAAAAUAGUAGAUUUCGCUUCCUCUCCAUGCCAGGUAGCUGUUAUUUUCACGUUUUAGCAAGAUUUAAGAAAAACACCUGAAAGCCUUAUAGAUUUUCCACUGUUACCCACUCCCUGAGUCCCUUAAAUAAAGAAGCCCAUAAUUGAUUAAUGAAAAGCCAAGUCAUUUUGGUAUUAAUACAAUCCCCUGGGUGGGCCUCUAAUCACACCUGGCAGGCCUGUAACAGCAUCGCUCUGUUACACGUCCAGGUUAAAAACCUGCAAAUCAACACAGCCCACAAGGAGAUUUUCAGCAUUUCCAAUCUGAUAAUCCAUGAUAAAUGCCUGCCAGAGGUUGGUCAGAGCCCAGGCCCUUUAGGAUUUUAAGCCUCUCUGCUUGUUAAAAAUGUUUAUACCUGAGUAUUCAAAGUUGGUACCCAUUUACACGAAUAUGCCUAACACAUGAGUGUUGCAAAUGCAGAAUUAAAAUACCACAUUAUCUCAUUUCUCCAUGAAAACAUAGUUGGAUAUUUGGCAGGGUCCUUCAGGUGGCUCUGCAUGAACCUCAGACAGAGCCACCUCUGAUGAGCAGAGUCAUUUCUGUGACUGAGUAUGUCAGUCUAUGCAGCCUUUGUGUGAGCAGGUGGACCAGUAUGGGAGUCCACUCUCACUCCUCCUCCCUAGGGCCCAAAACAUAUCCAGUCACAGGCAACACAAAAAUAUAAAUAUUAAUCUCAGGCUGGUGAGAGGGCUCAGUGGUUAGCAGUGCUUGCUGCCAAGCCUGAAGACCCAACCUUGAUCCCUGGACCUUCAUGGUAAAAGGAGAAAAUUGACUCUGGCAAGCUGUCCUCUGACACCCCCAUGCACACCACAGCACACACACACACACACACACACACACACCAACACUGAGUAAACAAAAGCAACAAAACUUUUGUUGCUUUUGGAAAACAAGGGUGUCAUGGAAGAACAGGAGGCUACUUAACUCUGCACCUUUAGAAGGAAUCUUCCAGAAGGCACUGCUCAGUGUGAGUUCUUAUAGUGGUUGAUCUUGACUGUCAACCUGGCAGGAUUUAGAGUCACCAUGGAAACAAAUACGAGCCAUGUGAUGGGGUUUCUGGAUUAGGUUAACUGGGCUGGUCUUAAUUGCGAAGGUCUUCCACCUAACCUGUAUGUGAGCAAUACCACCCCGUGGUCUGGAUAAGCAAACCAAGCAACAGCAACCACACCUCUGCUUCCUGAUUGGAUGCCAUGUGACCAGCUGCUCAAGCUCCUGCAGCUGUGACCGUAGCCUGAACUGGGGACCCAAAUCAUCUUUAAUUGCAUUAAUUGCUUUCAUUAGGUUCUUUGUCAUGGCAGGACAAGUGACUACUACAACUUCCCCUCGUCCACCUUGCCUCCUGCUCUGUCUACACCUAGCUCUUUUGUUAAUGGUGGUUGCGAUGUCUCGUGUGUCUGUGGAGAGCAACUCGACCAGCUCACGGGUGUCGGGCUCACAUUCAAAGAAAGCUCAACCUUCGUAACAACACAAGCUGUAAUGGCAGCACCAGGGGAUGGAGGCAAGAAGACAAGGCAAGCUUCAGGCCAGCCUGGGCUACCAAAACCAAAAAACAAAAAACCUAACCCAAUUCGUAAAAUCAAAUCAGAUUCAAUCAAGUUACUUAGCAUAUCCAGUACCGGCCUCACCCACCAGCACCACAGGCACCAUUGCUAAGUGUCUGAGCUGACCAGUGCUAAUCACACUGAGCCUGACAGUCUCCACCCAUCUUUAUCCUAAAUGGCAAGUCUGACCCAUUCAGCAGCAGGUUUUCAUUCUCACCCCUUCCCUGAUAACCUUGACUCUCCUCCCACUCUCUGUGACUCGUCUGUCCUACCUACCUCAUGGGAGUGGAGUCAUACAGGGUUUCUUCCUUUGCAGUUGGCUUAUUUUACUGAGCAAAGUGCUUUUAAAGAUUCACCCAUUGAGUACCAGGGGUCGGAAUGCUACUCCUCUUAUGGCUAAGUAAUAUUCCACUGCAUCUCACACUGUGUGUAUUCACUCAUCCGUUGGUGGAUACUUGGGUUAUGUAGUAUUGACUACUGUGCCUUUCAAUUAAAGAAAAAAACAAUCUGUUUAAGCUCGAUUUUUCAGUUCUUGUGGUGGGGAAGGGAUAAGUACCAGGGCCUUGAGCAUGCUCUGCAAAUGCUCGCUCCACCACGAAGGUCCAUCCCCAGCCCUUCUGCUUUCAGCUGUGUUGAGUGCGUACCUUAGCCUGAGAUAGCCAGGACAUACUAGAAACGUGUGCUGGCUUUGCAGAGCCAGGCACUCCCGUUGCUCUGGAGUCUUGUGCUGUGCCUCCGGCAGCUGCAGCCGGGAGCCAUCCACUUCCUGAGUUGGAUCAGUGGGUUCCUCCUCCUUCCUCUUGAGAGAGAAGCGCCCCAACGAAACGGGGGAGCUUUAUGUAUCUUGCUAGUGAAAUAUUUGGGGCACAGAUCAUAAAGUGUUUGCUGCUCCUGUGGCCUAGAAACAGAUUCUGUACCCAGCCUCCCUCUGAUCCUAAAGGAGACUCAGAACUAUGACCUACUUAUUAAUUCAAUCAAAGGCUUGUAUGUGUGGAUGUGUGUGUGUGUGUGUGCGCGUGCGCAUGCCUCUUUAUCUGUAUAUUUUAGUGUGGAUGUGUCUGUGUAUGUGAAGGUGCAUUUGCGUGUACUAGUUCAUAGUAUCCUGCCUGGCUUUUUUUUUUUUUUUAAAUGUGGGUGUUGGAUAAAAAGUUCAGGUGCUCCUGCUUAUACAGAAAGACUUUUACUUAAGGAGCCUUCUCCAUAGUCUUUGAAGUUAGGUCUUAAAAGAUCUUAGAAAUGUGUUUAUGGUACCUUACCUCCCAGCAGUUUUUCUUCUCAUUGCCCUGAAACUUUCAGAAACAUUUACAUACCUCUCCCUGGUCAGGUCCACCCCUGGGCUUCAUGUAGCCUGAGCUGACCUCAAACUCACCAACCACAUAGCUGAGGAUAGCCUUGAACUUAUGCCCUGCCACUGUUGCCUGAGUGCUGAGACUGCAGAGAGGCAAUUCCCAAGCCUGUCUCAUGUGCUGGGAGUGGAACUCAGGACUUCUUGCGUGCAAGGUUAGCAUUCUUCUAACUGAGCCACAUCCCUGGACCAAGAAUCUCUGUCCCUAAUUAUUUUUGUAAUUACUUCCUUUUCUCUUCUUCUUGUAUGUGUGUGUGUGUGUAUUAUGUAUGCAUGUUUAAAUAUGUGUUCUCCUACAGUGCCUGUGAUAUCCCAGGCCUGAUUUGCAGAGUCUUCUUGGAAAAUUCUCCAUCUUAUAGAGACAGGGUUUCUCAGUUGAACUCAGAGCUCAGCAAUACAGCAAGGCAGUUGCUCUUGAACUCGAUUUCCAUGUGCCUAGUCCUGAAGCAGCAGGUGUUAGGAGUACUCUAGGAAUCCAAAGUCAGGUCCCCAGGCUUGUGUGACAGACACAGGUGGCACAGAGCUGUGUCCUCAGCCCUCCUACCCCAGCUGGUUUCUUUCUUUUAUCCAGUGACCAACAGUGCCUCUGCCUUCAGUGCUGCAGUAUUUACUAAUAAGUCAGAGUCUUCCCAAGAGAUCUUUCCUUCAUCUCAACUUCAAGGAAUGUGAUUCUUUAAGAACAGGGGAGUGAUGGUGCACAUCUGUAAUCCCAGCACUCGGGAGGCAGAGGCAGGUGGAGUUUGAGGACAGCCUGAUCUACAGAGUGAGUUCCAGGAUAGCCAGGACUACACAGAGCAACCCUGUCUCAGAAAUCAAAGCAAAAACCAAACCAAACCAAACAGCAUCAAACAAAAGAGAGACAGAGAGGUAGAGAGAGAGAGAGAGAGAGAGAGAGAGAGAGAGAGAGAGAGAGAGAGAGAGAGAGAGAGGAGAGUGGGGAGCUGGUCUCCUCUACCAUACUACCUGUCUCUAACUGGUACCUGUGUAUGUCUAUACAUACUGACCUAAACCUAUAGAACUAUCAGCAUGGUGACCAAAACUGCUGCUGUGUUAUGUGACCUGAUGAUGGUUUAUGGGUACAACCAGGAAGUCAGCAGCUUGCAUCAAGAACUAGUGGUCAGAGCUACUGUCGCUUAGGUUGAACAGACAGGUGGCUCCUCUGCCAAUGAGAACACAAGGUUGGCUACUGUUUCACCCAUCAUAGUCAUUUUUGUUGUAUCUAAGCUUUCCCUUAAACACAAACAAACAACAACAAAAUGGACUUGGGACUUGGGAAAGGGAGCAACACUUAUGAAAGCUCUGACAUCAGCUUCUAUUGAUGGCGUCUGGGUAGAUGGGCUCCUUCAUACAUUCUAGCCCUAUGGCUCCACCUCACAUGCUCACAAAGCAAGCCUGAGUGUAAGUAAGGCUGAGUGUAAGUAAGGCUGAGUGUAAGUAAGGCUGAGUGUAGGUAAGGCUGAGUGUAAGUAAGGCUGAGUGUAAGUAAGGCUGAGUGUAAGUAAGGCUGAGUGUAGGUAAGGCUGAGUGUAAGUAAGGCUGAGUGUAAGUAAGGCUGAGUGUAAGUAAGGCUGAGUAUGCCAGUUGAGCCCUGAGAGGCUUACCUAACUGUGUUAAGAGAAUCUGGCAACUCAUUGGGUGGUGUAUGUCUCCGUGUUCAUGUGGUCAUGUGUGUACAGACGAACAAGUACAUAUAUGUAGGAGUGAGGAAAACAGUGUCAUUUCUCAGGAGCUGGUCACAAUUUUUAUUUUAUUUUUAAAAAUUUAACAAUGUCUCACCAUCAUAGAAUUCACUUCUCCAGGAAACCCUGUGCUUCAUCCCAGCAUCCUUGGGAUUACAAGUGCACACCCCUAUGCCUGGCUUCCCCCCACCCCCUUUUGGGAUCACAAGUGCACACCCCUAUGCCUGGCUUCCCCUACCCCCUUUAUAAAGAUUCUGUGAUCAAACUGAAGUCCCCAUCCUUGCAUGGCAAGCAGUGAAAUUUCACUGAACCAUCUCUUCUACCCUGAUUCAAGGUUCUAAUCAUUUUAGCAAAACCUACUCAACAUACCAGCUAUGGCAUCCACUCCAUGUCUAGACAAAAGCUAGUAUAACUUGUUCGAUGGUGAAAAACAAAUGAAUGGAGACCGCCUAAAGGAAAGAGUCUCCUGAAAUUAAAAUCUUAAUCUGGUUCUGAGGGAGUCACAAAAUUGUGCAUCCCUCUAGAGUUAUUGUUAGCAAUUAUGAACAUUGAAUUAGGAAAGAGAAGUGUCUUUAUUUGCUUUGUGGUCAGGGACAUGAAAAGCAGGGUCAGCAGAUGUGAGAUUAAGUCAAGAUGAUUCAGGCAGAAAUCCUACUCAAAUUCAAAGUUAUUUGUGCAAAUGAAACUAUCCUCCAUAUCUGUUAGAUGCAGAGGCACGCUGAUAUGUUCAGGAGUCUGAGCUUGGUGGGCAAAUAUAGAAUAUUUGCAUUAUUCAUUAUUUUUUUCAUGUGUGUGUGUGUAUGUGUAUGUAUGUGUACUGUGAAGAACAGUGUAACUGUCAUGACUCAGAUUCUUUUCCCUUUAACCACACUGGUUCCAGGGGAUCAAACUCAGGUCACCCAGGCUGGCAGCAAGCACCUUUUACUCGCUGAGCCAGCUCACCAGCCCGGCUAUGUGCAUUUUUAAUAGGUUGUUGUCAGAUAAGGAUUUAGAAUACAUCUGUACCGGUUCCUGGGAGGCCGAUGAACUUGGCUCAUUCUUAGCUAAGUUAUCUAAAAUACUUUAAAUACUUUAAAAUAAAACUAAUCCCUGCACUGGUGGGUUGAAAACUUUUCCUAUCCCCAGGGCACUAAAAUAAUACCCUUUCCAACAGCAGGGGAAGUAUUUUUAGGCGACAGCUCUCUAGUUAUAACAAGGCAAGUCAAUUUUUAGGAAUUAGGGAUGCUAAUCACGGUGUCUCAAGAUGUGCAUUGCCGGGGAGUGGAAUACAAGACCACAAACCGUCAUGAUCGCUGUGUGCCUCACUCUGAGGAGGAGAUGGAAACAGGAGGGAAACUCGGCUUCCUGGUCCCUCCACAGCCGGAUCUAUCAUAAAGGUCAAGAUAAUUGGCCACAUACAGCAAAAUCAACACCACUCCUCUUCCCUAGCCUAGCAGAUAAGCAGAGAAACUCAGCUCCCUGCCGGGCUAAGUGGUGGCUAGCCGAGGUGGAGGAGGAGAAAGGUCCGAAAAUAUGCAUGCAAAAACACAAGGCCCUGUAAUGAUGCCAUCAGAUUAGCAUUCAAUAUAUUUUACAAUCAAUUGAGAUACCGCAGGCUGCCCCCAAACAUGCAGGAAAUUGGUCCAAGAUUUCACGAGACUAUUCGCUCCUGUGUUUAUGCCUUUCUGUUGCUUUAGACUUUAAAACUUUCAACAUUAUAAAUGUACAUAUUAACAAACGAAAUCAAGGUAAAUGUAAGUUCUAGUUCAAUGCCACCUUUAUAAUAUGACCACAUGAGAAUUCUGCUUUCUGUAAAAGUUCAAUUAAUCUUAAUGAUGCAAAGUCAAAGCAAUAUUGGCUGGAAAAUAAAACAUGUCAGAAAAUGCACACAAAGGGACUGUGGAGAGGCUCUGCAGGGAUGCUCUGUGGGGAUGUUCAGUUGGCAGUGUGCUAGCCUCACAAGCAGGGCCACAUGAGUGCAGUGCUCAUAUUAAAAGGCCAAGCAGAAAGGUGCAGAUUUAUAAUCCCAGCACAGGGAAGCAGAGACAGCUGGAUCUCUUUGGACAACCAGCCUAGACUACAGGUGAAUUUCACACUAGUGAGAGACUGUGAGUUAAAAACAAGGUGCACAGCAGGCACCUGAGGAGCAGCGGGAGCCUUUACACUCAUCUCCCCUAUACAAGAAAAUCUAUAAGGUAAUUGGAUUACUCACCAUACUAGAUUAAUCAUAUGUGUAUCUAAUAAAAGCCUAUUGAAUAGAUUACCAAAGGCAGCCAGGUUGAUGAGGUGAGCUGAUUCUGUUUGUAUCAAUGUCAGAUGACUGCUCACAGUGUGGGGUCCAUGCUGUCCCCAGAACCUUACCUGCUGAACAUUGUUCCCUUGUUAGUGUCUUGAGAUUCUAACUAAUACCUUUUAAGACUCCUGGGGGGUGCACAGACUAUGUAGCUGGCCCUGUGUAAAUGAUUCAACUCUACUGGAGUGCUCCUGUUCUAAGCUCCCUGGAGUGCCUCCUCUGAAGAAAUGGCUCUGCGUUGGAGAAAGGACUCAACCAUUAAGGGUUCUUGCUGCUCUUCCAGAGCAUUGGGCUUUCCUGUACCCACAUGAUGGCUUACAACUGUAUAUCUGGUCCAGGGGAUCUGACACCUUCUCCUGGCCUCCUCCAGCACUAGGCACAUUUGUAGUACACAGACAUACAUGCAGGCAAAAUACCCAUACAUAUAUAAAAAGAAAAAAAAGAAAAGAAAAGAAGAAAAAUUAAACAGAAAUUGAGCAUACACACAGAAUAAAUGUGUAAUUUUUAAAAAUUAGAAAAUGGGAAGUAUCUCCUUAAAAAGAUAAACCACAGGGAAUAGAAAGCCUCUAUGCAGAGGGAAUACAUUUGGGUGAAAUGGGACAAAAAUUUAAGACACAGAAAAAUUAUGGAGUUUGAAGAAAGGACUAAAUUCUUGUCCCAGAAAGUUGAGCCAUGAGCACAGGACACGGCAGCAAUUUGACUGCAUCCCAGAACUCACCCAGGGAAUAAAUUCCAGGGCUGGGAGCGGGGGAGAUGGAGGGGCAAAGCUCUUUUCUGAGGCUCAUUGAAAAGGAUAAAAUGGAUCCCUUUCAAAGAGAAUAGUUCUAGCUGCUGAUGUGUGUUCAAGUUGAUCCUAACUAGUAGGUUUGUCCCCGUGUUCUGGAACGUGUGGACAAGCACAACGUGUACCCAGUGCACUCAGGGGUGUAACGCCUGCUGUGGGCGAGAGUUGGUAAGAUUAUUUAUCUUGGAAAAAGAAAGGUCUAAGUAUGGAGAAAAUGUUCACACGAGAAACAUGAAUCCUUUGGAGAAUGCAGGGGAGAAAAUAACUGAAGACAGUUAACAUAACAGCUACAUAGUCUGUGCACCCCCAGGAGACUUAAAAGGUGUAUGUGUGGCAAGCACUGGGGGGAGGGGCACGGAGGACUAAUUACAUGCAUCAUAGUAAGCUAAAUAUGAUCUGUGGCCCAUUUACCGUUUUCAUCAGGGUUUGCAGUAGGAUUAGCCACAAGCCUUCUGUCUGUUCGUUUUCAGAUGCAAAACUGAACAGGUUCAGCACAUAGCAGCCGAUAUCAUGACUGUCAGCACAAAGGUCGACACUCCAGUAAUGUGUGUGGUAUCAUUAUCACUUGACACCUGAGACAAGAGACUCAGAAAUGAAGGUGGGUUUCCGAAGAAGUAAGCCAGGAGUUGAUGGUCACCUUCCUUAACAUGGUUUUCUAACCAUCAGCGAAGUGGAUGGAGAGAUGACACUGCAGUACAGAUGAACAACAUAGCAACCAAAGCCUCUUCCCAGACCUUCCCACACUGUCUUCUGAGCAGAGGGUCCUGGGCUGUAUAUGAAAGAAGGCCGAGCAAGACAGAGAUUCAAAACUGGGUCUCAGCUGCCACAAAGAAGCUGUGGCUGUGGAGCGAAGUGGGAGGAGCCAUGCUGAGGACUGAGGAAAGAUGCAAGUGAAGCCCAGCUUCAUAUCAAGCAAGGCAUCCUAUCUAAUGACGUUAUACAGUGGGCAAGGCACCAGACAGCCUCAACAAUUGUGGAGCAUCCUUUGUAAGACUUAUCUUUGUGUGUUGGACAACGAGUGAGGUGUGGGGGAGAGACAUCAAACCCGUAUGAGACAUAAGCCUUAAUGACAACAAACAAUUUAUCAGACACCCUUUUUCAUUCAGCAUCAACAUGUGGGGGCCAUCGAGAGAACUGAAUGAUUUAACCCAUCUCAUUCAUCAUCCGAACCAGGGAACAAGUUGUAAAAGUCAUGUUUUCCUAGAUUACCUGACAGGAGAUGUAUGAAGCAGGGGAGGGAACAGUGAAGAUGACAGGUGGUGUGCCAGUCUUCUGAGCAGCUGGAGGAUAGCAACACAUACAUCCUGGCUAAUGGUGGAGAACACCAUCACUUAUUACGCACUAUGUACUUACACCCACAGCUAUAAGGGACAACAGCACAAGAAAAUGAAGCAAAUGCCUGAGGUCACUCUCUGUAGCAUGCACUCAACAAGCGAAGUGGAGAUUCUGAGCCUCACAGCUUAAGGCUUGAUUCUACAGGCUGAAUAAAUUCUGCAUUGCUGCCACAUUCCUUCGGUUGCUACUAUUCUAUUUAAACAUCUGCUUCCAGAUGUGGAGAUGCCCAAAUCUGGCACAUGAGCUCAAGGAUUGGGUGUCUUCCUAUAGUGGAAAAAAAAAUCAAGAUUUAAUUUGGAUAAGUCAGAUGAAGAAUGGCGACCAGGCUUUUAGAGUCAGCAACAGUCCCUUUUGCAAACAUUGUUUAAAUUUAUCUGUUUCAAAAA